GAGCCUCUCAGGCUAAAUAUAUGUAUGUAUUACACACGUCCAUACUCCUAUAUAAAUUCAUGAGUCUGUAUAGGGCUACUACGCUCGCGUCCAACGCUCACGUCACGCCUUAAUGCGGUGCUACACUACGCCAUUAAGGUGGACAGACGGGUGUAUAAAUAUGUGUCCAUACCCUCUAUAUGAAUUAAGCACUCAUAUAGGGCUACUAUGCUCACGUCCAACGCUCACGUCACACCAUAAUGCGGCUAUAUGCUACGCCAUUAAGGUGGACAGACACAUAUGGCUAGCUAGCAUUUAUAUACAUACUCUCCUCAUCAAUAUAUAAUUAUAUUCACCGAAAAUCUCAUUUUCGGUAACUCUUCAAAAGAAAUAAAAUCGUCAAAAUAAAAUGACGUCAAAUGCUCCAACAAAAUAAAUUGCCCAAAAAUCAACCAUUGAUGCAUAUUAUUUAAAACAAAAGUCCACUCACAGUAUCAGGCCUUAGCCUUCCAAUGCUCGCAAUACUCCUCGAGCUCUGCCUCCAACUAUUCACGCUCUCUAACCAAUCCCAUGUCUGACGAUAAACAAAAGAAUAAAUUGGUCAGAUCGGACUCCAUAAUAAUCAUCGAUUCAACUUCUUCCUAAUUUGGCUAGGUUUCCUGGGUUGACAAGAAUUGAUCAUUUUAAUAGGAUAAAAUGAUCAACACAUCCCCAAAUAUUAUAAAAAAAAAACUCAUAGCGCACAAUACAGUUCCCAACUGUACUUGGAAAUAAUAAAUAUCACUUGACACGUCCCACGUGUCGACUAAAAUUAGCAAGAGAGUUCCAGAAAAAUAAAUGGAACUCAAUAAUCCAACCAAAUAUUAUAUCUCUAAAUACCUUUGAAAUUAGAUAAUUUAGCGCAUGCAAGAUAUUAAAAUCAAAGGUCCACUCACAGUGCUCGGCUAUGCUUGCCGACGGCCCGAGGCUUCCUCCAAAUGAUCCUCCUCACGUCCUGAACAAUAAAUAAUCAUUAAGCCUCCAAACCAGGACAAAACUUUAAUAAAAUUUCCGAAAUAAAAAGGAAGCCUAUAAUUUCAUUUCUCUUGCCCAACUUCUCCACAUUUUACCUAAUAAGGCUCACAUUACUCCGCACUUACCAAAAGCCAUAAUUUAACCUUUUUAGACUUUACAACCUGCUAAACCAACUGCCGGAUUUCCAUUUGAAUAACCGC
rnacentral:lncRNA from 1 species